GCUGGGGCCGCCGUCGGGCCUUCUCCCUCCAGGGGCCCAAGAGCCACUGGUACUCAGUGUCUGGGUGGGGGCAGGGGGGAUUUUUGUUCUCCCAGCACCUGCGGCUGUUGAGACCAGAGAAGCUGGUGGUCGACCACAGCCUGGGGUAUUAGUUCACCCCUAGCUUCUCCCCAGCGAGACCCCAGGGCCCUUGGGCACAGGGGAUUAAGCCUCUAUCUGCUUACGUGCAAGCGGAAGAAAUAGGCCCAGAGAGCAACAGUGGCGGGUCUGCAGUCACACAGCCAACUUGCGCUUGUGGCAGUGGCAAGGUUGGUGAGUAUCUGAGUCUUCAGGCCACGGCAUUUUCCGCUCGAGUGGAGCCUGGUGCAGUGGCUCACACCUGUAAUCCCAGCACUUUGGAGUCCCAAGCAGGCAGAUCGCCUGAAGUCGGGAGUUUGAGACCAGCCUGGGUGAAACCCCAUCUCUAAUAAAAGUAC
rnacentral:lncRNA from 10 species